rnacentral:rRNA from 1 species
GACGAACCGAGCGAACGUUGUUCGGAAUCACUGGGCUUAAAGGGCGCGUAGGCGGAUUCUCAAGUCCGGGGUGAAAUCCCACAGCUCAACUGUGGAACUGCCUCGGAUACUGGGAGUCUCGAGUCCGGGAGAGGUGAGUGGAACUGCGAGUGUAGAGGUGAAAUUCGUAGAUAUUCGCAAGAACACCAGUGGCGAAGGCGGCUCACUGGCCCGGUACUGACGCUGAGGUGCGAAAGCGUGGGGAGCAAACAGGG